UACGUAGGGGGCAAGCGUUGUCCGGAAUCAUUGGGCGUAAAGCGCGUGUAGGCGGCCCGGUAAGUCCGCUGUGAAAGUCGGGGGCUCAACCCUCGAAUGCCGGUGGAUACUGUCGGGCUAGGGUGCGGGAGAGGCGAGUGGAAUUCCGGGUGUAGUGGUGAAAUGCGUAGAGAUCCGGAGGAACACCAGUGGCGAAGGCGACACGCUGGGCCGUACCUGACACUGAUGCGCGACAGCAUGGGGAGCAAACAGG
rnacentral:rRNA from 1 species